rnacentral:rRNA from 1 species
GACAGAGGGUGCAAACGUUGUUCGGAAUUACUGGGCGUAAAGCGCGUGUAGGCGGCUUCGCAAGUCGGGUGUGAAAUCCCACGGCUCAACCGUGGAAGUGCAUUCGAAACUGCGAGGCUAGAGUCCUGGAGAGGAAGGUGGAAUGCUUGGUGUAGAGGUGAAAUUCGUAGAUAUCAAGCGGAACACCGGUGGCGAAGGCGGCCUUCUGGACAGUGACUGACGCUGAGACGGCGAAAGCGUGGGGAGCAAACAGGGAU